rnacentral:rRNA from 1 species
UGGGGAAUAUUGGACAAUGGGCGGAAGCCUGAUCCAGCCAUGCCGCGUGUGUGAAGAAGGCCUUUUGGUUGUAAAGCACUUUAAGCGAGGAGGAGGCUCUUCUAGUUAAUACCUAGGAUGAGUGGACGUUACUCGCAGAAUAAGCACCGGCUAACUCUGUGCCAGCAGCCGCGGUAAUACAGAGGGUGCGAGCGUUAAUCGGAUUUACUGGGCGUAAAGCGUGCGUAGGCGGCUGAUUAAGUCGGAUGUGAAAUCCCUGAGCUUAACUUAGGAAUUGCAUUCGAUACUGGUCAGCUAGAGUAUGGGAGAGGAUGGUAGAAUUCCAGGUGUAGCGGUGAAAUGCGUAGAGAUCUGGAGGAAUACCGAUGGCGAAGGCAGCCAUCUGGCCUAAUACUGACGCUGAGGUACGAAAGCAGGGGGAGCAAACAGG